AACGAACGCUGGCGGCAGGCUUAACACAUGCAAGUCGAACGCACUCUUCGGAGUGAGUGGCAGACGGGUGAGUAACACGUGGGAACCUACCCAAAGGUACGGAAUAACACAGGGAAACUUGUGCUAAUACCGUACGUGCCCUUCGGGGGAAAGAUUUAUCGCCUUUGGAUGGGCCCGCGUCGGAUUAGCUAGUUGGUGGGGUAAUGGCCUACCAAGGCGACGAUCCGUAGCUGGUCUGAGAGGAUGAUCAGCCACACUGGGACUGAGACACGGCCCAGACUCCUACGGGAGGCAGCAGUGGGGAAUAUUGGACAAUGGGCGCAAGCCUGAUCCAGCCAUGCCGCGUGAGUGAUGAAGGCCUUAGGGUUGUAAAGCUCUUUCAGCUGGGAAGAUAAUGACGGUACCAGCAGAAGAAGCCCCGGCUAACUUCGUGCCAGCCGCCGCCGUAACAC
rnacentral:rRNA from 1 species